UAGGGAAUCUUCGGCAAUGGACGAAAGUCUGACCGAGCAACGCCGCGUGAGUGAAGAAGGUUUUCGGAUCGUAAAACUCUGUUGUUAGAGAAGAACAAGGACGUUAGUAACUGAACGUCCCCUGACGGUAUCUAACCAGAAAGCCACGGCUAACUACGUGCCAGCAGCCGCGGUAAUACGUAGGUGGCAAGCGUUGUCCGGAUUUAUUGGGCGUAAAGCGAGCGCAGGCGGUUUCUUAAGUCUGAUGUGAAAGCCCCCGGCUCAACCGGGGAGGGUCAUUGGAAGCUGUGAGACUUGAGUGCAGAAGAGGAGAGUGGAAUUCCAUGUGUAGCGGUGAAAUGCGUAGAUAUAUGGAGGAACACCAGUGGCGAAGGCGGCUCUCUGGUCUGUAACUGACGCUGAGGCUCGAAAGCGUGGGGAGCAAACAGG
rnacentral:rRNA from 1 species